rnacentral:rRNA from 1 species
GUGCCACCGCCGCGGUAAUACGGAGGGUGCAAGCGUUAAUCGGAAUUACUGGGCGUAAAGCGCACGCAGGCGGUCUGUCAAGUCGGAUGUGAAAUCCCCGGGCUCAACCUGGGAACUGCAUUCGAAACUGGCAGGCUAGAGUCUUGUAGAGGGGGGUAGAAUUCCAGGUGUAGCGGUGAAAUGCGUAGAGAUCUGGAGGAAUACCGGUGGCGAAGGCGGCCCCCUGGACAAAGACUGACGCUCAGGUGCGAAAGCGUGGGUAGCAAACAGGAUUAGAUACCCCAGUAGUCC